rnacentral:rRNA from 1 species
CAGUAGCCGCGGUAAUACAGAGGGUGCGAGCGUUAAUCGGAUUUACUGGGCGUAAAGCGUGCGUAGGCGGCUUUUUAAGUCGGAUGUGAAAUCCCCGAGCUUAACUUGGGAAUUGCAUUCGAUACUGGGAAGCUAGAGUAUGGGAGAGGAUGGUAGAAUUCCAGGUGUAGCGGUGAAAUGCGUUGAGAUCGGAAAGAACACCAACGGCGAAAGCACUCUGCUGGGCCGACACUAACACUGAGAGACGAAAGCUAGGGGAGCAAAUGGGAUUAGAUACCCCAGUAGUCCCUGUCUCUUAUAA